rnacentral:rRNA from 1 species
AGCGAACGCUGGCGGCAGGCCUAACACAUGCAAGUCGAACGCACCUUCGGGUGAGUGGCGGACGGGUGAGUAACACGUGGGAACGUACCUUUAGGUUCGGAAUAACGCAGGGAAACCUGCGCUAAUACCGAAUGUGCCCUUCGGGGAAGGAUUAUCGCCUUAGUAGCGGCCCGCCGUUAGAUUAGCUAGUUGGUGGGGUAAGUGGCUCACCAAGGCGUACGAUCUAUAGCUGGUCUGAGAGGANGAUCAGCCACACUGGGACUGAGACACGGCCCAGACUCCUACGGGAGGCAGCAGUGGGGAAGUCUUGCGCAAU